rnacentral:rRNA from 1 species
AACGAACGCUGGCGGCAGGCUUAACACAUGCAAGUCGAACGCCCCGCAAGGGGAGUGGCAGACGGGUGAGUAACACGUGGGAACGUGCCCUUCGCUUCGGGAUAGCCUCGGGAAACUGGGAGUAAUACCGAAUACGCCGUAUUGGGAAAGAUAUAUCGGCGAAGGAUCGGCCCGCGUUGGAUUAGCUAGUUGGCGGUGUAAUGGACCACCAAGGCUACGAUCCAUAGCUGGUCUGAGAGGACGACCAGCCACACUGGGACUGGGACACGGCCCAGACUCCUACGGGAGGCAGCAGUGGGGAAUCUUGGACAAUGGGCGCAAGCCUGAUCCAGCCAUGCCGCGUGAGUGAAGAAGGCCUUAGGGUUGUAAAACUCUUUCGCCGGUGAAGAUAAUGACGGUAACCGGAGAAGAAGCCCCGGCUAACUUCGUGCCAGCAGCCGCGGUAAU